CCAAAGGGAGCCAGGAAGCCAGAGAGGAGGAAGUGUGGCUGAAGGGCUGGGUAAUGAAGACACCCUGAAAUCACUGGAAAAGGAGCCCUAAGGCAACCCAAGAUCGAGCCCUCCUGCAUGAGGUAGUGGACCAGCUGAGAUCCUUACCACCCAGGCCCGGGGGGUCCGAUGGGACAUGAACCCUGAGGGCAACCAGUUGUCUGCCAAAGAUGAUGGCAGAGGAUGACGUAGAGGCAUAUCUCCUCUCAUUUGAAAGGACUGCUCAGUAUGAGGGGCGUGGCCCCAGGAGCAGUGGGCCAGCAUUCUUGCCCCUUUUUUGUGCAGAGAGGACCACGGGCUAUGUGGAGGGUCACAGUGUGCCUCUGAGGCUAGCAUAAACCACCUGGAAGCACGGGAUCCACGGGGACAAGGUCGGAGCUCUGCCACAGUACCCUACUGUACACCUGGAGUAAUGCUUUUGACUUCAAUGGAGUUACUCCAUGUCUGAAGUGGUGUAAUUUGA